AACAAAAUAUUUAAGUCAUUCUAUAUUUAGAAAUAGUAUAAAUAGGAAUAAAGUCGAUUCACUAAUCUGGGACACAACUGUCUAGUGACGUUGGCAAUUUAUUUUUUUGGGAAGUUAGGUUGCUAGACGUUACUGGAAAUUACUACACAACCAAACAUACCUGCUCAUUGCCAAUAUUAUUAAUAGUAAACAGACCUAAAUAACAUAAACCUUAGGCCAAUCCAUAAUUAUUUAUUUACACCAUGAUAAUGUAUUGAUAACAAAGGAGAAAAUUAUUUAUUGUACAAAAUAAAAAUAUUUUGUAGAAAUAAAUUCCACAAAAUUUUAUGAGUUUAGUAUACACUCCCACCAUUUCCAAUAAUUCUUCUUUUUUAAUGAAAGAUUAAGUUGAUUUUGAACAGUUAAUAGUGCGAGGUAGGAAUUUUUGUGUUGUAUGUUUCCUAGUCCGAUUGUGUCAAAUUGAAUCCUGGCUGAGCGAAUUCAGCAUAACUGUUUCACAAUGUUAUUAUACUGAAAUUCACAUUCAGAUGGCAGCGUUACAGAGAUACACCUGUGCUUUCUAUAUAGCAGAAAUAACUACAAUGUUGUCAAAGUUUUUAAUCGUACAUUAUGGGCCUGCUCCUAUAAAAGAUGUUUAUGAAUGAAUAAAGAAAUAUUUAUGAAUGUAAAAUGGAAAUAUACUACACUUUUGUGAACUUUUUUUUUAAAUUGGCUCUGCCUUUUUAAAAAAGUAGCAAAAUUUACAAUGGCAGUAGGAUUGGCAACACUGUUAUCCUAUAUCUGUCCACUGCCAUCUGAGUGUGACUUCCACUAUAGUUUUUUUUUUGUUGAUUUGAAUGUGUUGAGGUAGGCAUUAGAGACAAUAGAAUUGACUAAAGUUCUUCCACUGCAUUACCAGUGCUAGUGUAUAAGGUGCCAGCCUGAAAAACUAGCAAAGGCGCCCUUCAGUUAUUUAAAUUGGUAUUUUGUAUACCUAACACUAGCCGAAAAAAGCUCAUUUUGGCACCCCCCAGAAAGAGGCGCCCACCUGCAGCGCAUCCCUUGCAGGCCCGUUAUCUCCGGCCCUGUUUCACUGUAUCUUUGACAUACAGUGGAACCCCGAUAAGUCGGCCCCCGAUAACCCGGAAGUCCGGCUAACCCGGACCGAUUUUCAUCAGACAAAAAUUUAACAAAUAAUUUAACAAUUUUAUCAAAUAAAAAUGUAUGUAGGCCAAAUAAUAUUUCAGAGAUAGGGGUGUAUUCUGUAACACUUCCGUUAAAUUUUAGUGGCCUCUAAAAUUUUAGCGCCCGCUAAAAAUAUUUUGGUAUUCUGUAAAUCAUACAUCCGUUAAAAUCAUAACCUAAACCGUUAAAACUCCCUCUAAAUAAAAAUAUUUUAGAGGAUGUCAAAACGUACCCGCUAAAUUUUUAGCAGUCCGUUAAAUGUGGUUUGAUUAUUUUUGUUGGGUUAUGUUUGUAUGAAUAGUAGUUUGUUAUUCUUGUAUUAUACUGGAGAUAAAUAUUUAAAAAUGGAAAAUGGCUUUUUAUAAUGUAUUUGGUGAAGAAGUACUUAAAUAAUAAUGAAAGAGCUGAUUUCAGAUUACAACAUAAACACAAAGUAAAUAAUUGACCCGAAAGAAAUAACUACAAUUACCAUUUCAAAGAAAGUAGGUACCUACCUAAUUACGUAGAAAUGUUAUUGAAAAAGUGUUGGAAGUCAAAGAUGUUUGUCAAAGCAAUUAAAUCCUAUUAAUGCAGGUAAAAUUAUUUAAAGUUAUUGUGGAACAUUAUAAAACGUACCAAAUGAUUACAAAGGUAAAGUUUCAGAAGGUUUAUAACCAGAUGCAGAUUAAUAAGAUGACCUUAAUGUUAUUGAAAAUAGACCAUUUGACCAAAAUUAGUGUCGAAGGGGAGAAGAAAAAAUAAGAUAUGCAUUUUUUCAGCAAUAUUUUAAUGUAUAACUUUAUAAAUAAAAAUGUUUAAUUGGAAAA